UACGGGGGGAGCAAGCGUUGUUCGGAUUUACUGGGCGUAAAGGGCGCGUAGGCGGCCACCGCAAGUCGACUGUGAAAUCUCCGGGCUUAACCCGGAAAGGUCAGCCGAUACUGCGGGGCUAGAGUGCAGAAGGGGCAACUGGAAUUCUCGGUGUAGCGGUGAAAUGCGUAGAUAUCAGGAGGAACACCAAUGGCGAAGGCAGCUCGCUGGGACGUGACUGACGCUGAGACGCGAAAGCGUGGGGAGCAAACAGG
rnacentral:rRNA from 1 species